CAGCCGCCGCGGUAAUACCGGCGGCCCGAGUGGUGGCCGCUAUUAUUGGGCCUAAAGCGUCCGUAGCCGGUCCGAUAAGUCUCUGGUGAAAGCCCACAGCUCAACUGUGGGAAUCGCUGGAGAUACUAUCGGACUUGAGGCCGGGAGAGGCUGGAGGUACUCCCAGGGUAGGGGUGAAAUCCUAUAAUCCUGGGAGGACCACCUGUGGCGAAGGCGUCCAGCUGGAACGGACCUGACGGUGAGGGACGAAAGCCAGGGGCGCGAACCGGAUUAGAUACCCGGGUAGUCCUGGCCGUAAACGAUGCGGACUUGGUGUUGGGACGGCUGUGGGCUGUCCCAGUGCCGAAGGGAAGCUGUUAAGUCCGCCGCCUGGGAAGUACGGCCGCAAGGCUGAAACUUAAAGGAAUUGGCGGG
rnacentral:rRNA from 1 species